rnacentral:tRNA from 1 species
AUUUAAGUAGUUUAAGUUAAAAUAAUGGAUUGUGGGUCCGUGGAUGUAGAUUAUUACCUUAAAUU